GCGCCAUUGCACUCCAGCCUGGGCAACAAGAGUGAAACUCCGUCUCAAAAAAAAAAAAAGUUUUGUGUUAUAUGGAUUCCAGUUCUCAGCUGAAAAAUCUCCACCUUUUCAUCUACUUUCUCCCUUGCUUCCUCCAUCUAAACAAAAACGCACAGAGUUCGAACUCUAAACAAAAACUCACAGAGAGUUCAGGGGUUCUCUGCUGCGACUUCCACUCUCUGGCUUUGUGUGCAUCCGUUUCCACGGGCUAUUUUUCCUCUUGAUUUUUGGCCCUGUGGUCUCUGAAUGCUGGAUGUCAUGCGCUGAAGCCUGGAGACUCCAGAUCCGGGGUCAGCAAACUGCAGCGGGGGGCAGCCGCCUGCUUUUGUGAACGCAGCGUAUUGAAACACACCCAUGCCCAUUUGUUCACAGAUGCUCUGUGGCUGCGUGUGCCCUACAGCAGCACGGUUCAGUAGGCAGAGGCCACUUCUACUACCCGGCUAAGGAAAAGAUGGGCAGAGCCUGCUCUGGAUGACGCUGUGUUCCAGCCGGCGGAGAGGGUCCCCCAUUUCCUCGGAACUAAUCCUCCAGGAAAUUAACAGACAGUUUGCUGUGGACAACUAGAGCCCUCCCCUUCCUUAGCCCUGAGCGAGGUAAACAAUUCUGCUCUGCCUUCCGGAAGUUUCAAAUUAGCUCUUCAACCAGCGUUUUCACGCAGCUUCCAGUCCUGCCACAGUCUUGAAGAAGAGAUCAGCUUUCGCGUCUUCAUUCUUGCCAAGAUUAGCUGCCCUUCGAAUCUCCCGUGUGUCAUUAAUCCCAGCACGAACAAGCACUUGGGAACUGCGGGCUGCAGAUGGUCUGCUUAUCCUACGGAACCCUCCUCUUUUGAGGCUUAACCCCUUUAGUCUUUGUUGCUUCUGUAGCUUUCUGAUGCCAUUAAAGAGAUGAUUUUUAUAUUUUUGCCUGGCCUUUCUAGUUCUUAGUGGGAGCCUUGAUCUGCUGCACUCCAUCCUACUUGGAAGUAGAAGUCUGUUUCCCCAUGUUUAAAAUGUUAAUUUCAGGCCACGCACAGUGGCUCAUGCCUAUAAUCCUAGCACUUUAGGAGGCCAAAGUGGGAGGGUCACUUGAGCCCAGGAGUUCCAGAUCAGCCUAGGAAACACGGGGAGACCUCACCUUAAAGAAAAAAAAAAAAAAAAGGCAUGCACUGAGCAUGGUGGUGCAUGCCUGUAGUCUCACUUACUCAGGAGGCCGGGGCAGGAGGAUCACUUGAGCCCAGGAGUUUGAGGUUACCAUGAGCUAUGGUUGCAUGACUGCACUCCGGCCUGGGCAACAGAGCAAGACCCUAUCUCUAAAAAAAUAAAAAUAAAAUAGGCUGGGUGCAGUGGUUCACAUCCAUAAUCCUAGCACUUUGGCAGGCCAAGGCAGGAAGAUCGCUUGAGCCCAGGAGUUCAAGACCAGCCUGGGCAGCAUAGUGAGACCCUGUUUCUAAAAAAAGAUAUUAGCUGGCCAUUGUGGCACAUACCUGUACUUAGGAGGCUGAGGCCAAAGGAUCACGUGUACCCAGGAGUUUGAGGCUGCAGUGAGCUGUGAUCAUGCCGCUGCACUCAGCCUGGGCAACAGAGGAAGACUCUGUCUCUAAAAAUGUAAGUCAAUAAAAAUAAAUAAAAUGUUAAUUUCAGUUUCCAAUUGUUCCUUGCUAGCAAAUAGAAAUACACAUUUCAUUUUGUACACUGACCUAGUAUUCUGUGAUGUUCUAAUUUGUUCUAGUAGACUCCUUUGAGAUUUUCUAUGUAGUCAUGCUGUCCACAAAUAGAGACAGUUGUGUAUUUAUUCCUUCCCAAUAUGUGUUCAUUUUAUUAUUUUCUUGCUUAUUACACUGAACGGGGCCUCCAGUAUGAUGCUGAAUAGAUGUGGUGACAGCAGACGCCCUUGCCUUGUUUCCUUCCUUAUGGGGAAAGCAUCCAAUCUUUUAUCAUUAAGUGUGAUGUUAUCUGUAGGGUUUUUGUGAUGCCUUCUGAAAAGUUAAGGAAGUUGUUUUUUAUUCAUAGUUUGCUAAGAGUUUUUAUCACAAACGGAUGUUGAAUUUUGUCAAAUUCUUUUCCUGCAUCUAUUGAGAUAUCAUAAGAUUCUUUUUUUUGUAGUCUGUUGAUACGAUGAAUGAUACUGAUGUUUGAAGGUUGAACCAACCUUGCAUUUCCAGGAUAAACCUCAUUUUGUUUGUCCCAGAAUAAAUAGAUUACUUCAGGAUAAAGACUCAUUUUUAUAUAUUGCUGGAUUAUUUGCUAAUAAUGAGUUGAGGAUUUUGCAUCUAGGUUCAUAUGGGAUAUUGGUCUGUUUGCUUUUCUUGUAAUGGCCUUAUGUGGUCUUAGGGUCAAGGUAAUGUUGAACUCAUAAAAGGAAUUGCAAAGUGUUCUCUCCUCUUCUAUUUUCUUUAAGAGUUUGUGUAGAAUUGGUAUUAAGUCUUCCUUAAAUGUUUGGUAGCAUUUAAUAGACAUAUGACAAUUUGGUUUACCUAUUUAAUCUUGAGUGAACUUUGGCAGUUUGAGUCUUUCAAGGAAUUUUCCCAUUAAAUCUAAAUUGUCAAAUUUAUGAGCAUAAAACUGUUUGUAAUAUUUCAUAUUUACUUUUUUCUUUCUUUCUUUUUUUUUUUUUUUUUGAGAUGGAGUCUCACUCUGUCACCCGGGCUGGAGUACAAUGGCGUGAUCGUGGCUCACUGCAAUCUCCACGUCCUGUGUUCAAGUGAUUCUUCUGCCUCAGCCUCCCAAGUAAGUGGGAUUACAGGUGUCUGCCACCAUGCCCGGCUAUUUUUUUUGUAUUUUUAGAAGAGAUGGCAUUUCACUAUUUUGGCCAGGCUGGUCUCAAACUCCUGACCUUGUGAUCCACCCGCCUCGACCUCCCAAAGUGCUAGGAUCACAGGCGUGAGCCACCGUGCCCAGCUGUAAUAUUUCCUUAAUAUCUUUUUCAUGUCUAUAGGGUCUGGGGUGGUGUUCCCACUUUCAUUGCUAAUGUUGUAAUUUGUAUCUUCUCUUUUUUUCCUGAUCACUCUAGCUUGAAGCUUUUCAAAUUUAUUGAUAUUUUCAAAUAACCAGUUUUUGCUUUCACUGAUUUUUCUCUGAUGUUCUGUUUUCAUUUCUGCUGAUGUCCACUCACUAUUGUUUCUUUUCUCCUGCUUGCUUUGGAUCUGCUCUUCUUUUUUGAAUUAAUUAAGGUGAAAGUUUAGCUAACUGAUUUCAGACUUUUCUUCUACCUUAACAUAAGCAUUUAAUAUUCUAAGUUUUCCUCUAAACACUGUUUUAGCAAGAAUCCAUAAAUGUUAAUAUGUUUAGUUUUCAUUUUCUUUCAGUUAGAAACAGCCUCUAAAUUCCCUUGUGAUUUUCUAUUUAACUCACAGGUUAAUUUAAUAUUUGUGGAUUUUCCAGAUAGCUCUUUGUUACUGGCUUUUGGAUUGAUAUUAUGGUCAGAGAACAUGCUUUGUGUGAGUUCAAUUCCUUUAAAUUAGUUAAGGUUUAUUUCAUGGUCCAGAACAUGAUAUGUCUUGGUAAAUGUCCAAUAUGCACUUGAAUAGAAUGUGUAUUCUGCUGUUGCUGGGUGGAAUGUUCUAUAAAUGUCAGCUGAGUCAAACCAGUUAACAGUGUUCAGGUGUCCUAUAUCCUUCAUGAUUUUCUAUUUAUUCUCUCAAUUACUGAAAGAGGGGCCAGGAACAGUAGACUAUGCCUGUAAUCGCAGCAUUUUGGGAGGCCAAAGCAGGAGGUUCACUUGAACCCAGGAGUUCAAGACCAGCCUGGGUAACAUGACAAGAGCCCGUCUCUACAAAAAUAAAAAAAUUAGUGGCCGGGUGCGGUGGC
rnacentral:lncRNA from 10 species